GAUGAACGCUGGCGGCGUGCCUAACACAUGCAAGUCGAACGAAGCACCUUACCUGAUUCUUCGGAUGAAAGUUUGGUGACUGAGUGGCGGACGGGUGAGUAACGCGUGGGUAACCUGCCCUGUACAGGGGGAUAACAGCUGGAAACGGCUGCUAAUACCGCAUAAGCGCACGAGGAGACAUCUCCUUGUGUGAAAAACUCCGGUGGUACAGGAUGGGCCCGCGUCUGAUUAGCUGGUUGGCAGGGUAACGGCCUACCAAGGCAACGAUCAGUAGCCGGUCUGAGAGGAUGAACGGCCACAUUGGAACUGAGACACGGUCCAAACUCCUACGGGAGGCAGCAGUGGGGAAUAUUGCACAAUGGGGGAAACCCUGAUGCAGCAACGCCGCGUGAGUGAGGAAGUAUUUCGGUAUGUAAAGCUCUAUCAGCAGGGAAGAUAAUGACGGUACCUGACUAAGAAGCUCCGGCUAAAUACGUG
rnacentral:rRNA from 1 species